GGUAUUUGAAGUAGAGAAUGUGCUGCUACGCACCAUAAGGUCAAAAGAAAUGUGGAAUUGGCACUUCCACCAAAUACC
ncrna:unclassified sequences skipping-rope RNA